GUGGGGAAUUUUGGACAAUGGGCGCAAGCCUGAUCCAGCCAUGCCGCGUGCAGGAUGAAGGCCUUCGGGUUGUAAACUGCUUUUGUACGGAACGAAAAGACUCUGGUUAAUACCUGGGGUUCAUGACGGUACCGUAAGAAUAAGCACCGGCUAACUACGUGCCAGCAGCCGCGGUAAUACGUAGGGUGCGAGCGUUAAUCGGAAUUACUGGGCGUAAAGCGUGCGCAGGCGGUUAUAUAAGACAGAUGUGAAAUCCCCGGGCUCAACCUGGGAACUGCAUUUGUGACUGUAUGGCUAGAGUACGGCAGAGGGGGAUGGAAUUCCGCGUGUAGCAGUGAAAUGCGUAGAUAUGCGGAGGAACACCGAUGGCGAAGGCGGCUCACUGGCUCGAUACUGACGCUGAGGUGCGAAAGCGUGGGGAGCAAACAGGAUUAGAAACCCGAGUAGUCC
rnacentral:rRNA from 1 species